ACCAGAUUGUGUUUGCGAUCAGAUAGAUUGUAAUGUCACAUAUAAAAUUUUGUUUGCCAAAUUUGUGAUAUCUCGCCAAAUGAAAGAGAUAUCGAGGCGACCCUCUUAUCUCAAACCCACUAUAUAUUAACAGAUUUUUUUGUUAAAUUAGCUGAAAAUAACAUUACUUUUGAAGAGGAACACAACACCGGACCAGCACCCUACUGCACAUUUGGAACAAAGCUCUUGAGCAAAGGACAGAAGUUUCGUUCUUCGGGAAAAUGGGGCAACUUGUCGUGUGAAUGUGUGCUACCGCCGUACGCUUCAUGUAAAAAAAUUUGAUUUAUUAUUUUUAUACUCUUUGAUUUAAUUCAUCUUUACAUGGUCGCAUUCCAGAAUAUACCUAAAGUAGAUGUUUUAUUCUUAAAGUUGCAAUGAAAUUGUUUUUUUUUGUUUUUGUUUGUGACUAUGGCUAUUAUAGUGUUGUAUAAGUUA